AUUCAAUAUAAUCUUGUCAGUACAAAUAAAUCUCAAGAUUCUCGAACGCAACUAGGGUUUUUGUAGCUAAAGAGUUUGGGAACUUUGUCACCAUGAGAGCCAAGUGGAAGAAGAAGCGUAUGAGGAGGCUUAAGAGGAAGCGGAGAAAGAUGAGGCAGAGAUCUAAGUAGACUCGUUUGAUCUAAUAAUGAAGCGAUUUAUCGUUCUAGAGUUGAUCAUCGGUACUGGUAUUAUGUAGUUACUGUUUGAUUUGUUUCAUGCCUUUUGUUUUGAUGCAUUUUGUUGAACCUUUAGUUCCCUGGAAAUGCAAAUUUCCAGACGGGAAUUUCUCUCAAA